GAUGGCGACCGAUUGAGGGACCGGUUGUUCCGCCACGCCCUUUUCCAGAUUCUUCUCCUUCUUCGUCAGCAGCGGCGACUCGUGGAGUUGUGUGCUGUGCUGGGUCGAGCAAUGGCGAUUCGGAGACUGACCCUUUUGUCCUCACGACUCCGCUCUACUACGUCAUUGUUGCUGAUGCCAUCGCUCAUUUUCAGGUGAACAAUACUGGUGUUGGUGGAUCUAUUAUCGACACUGAUGCUUUGAGAACUUCAGUGGAUCCAUCCAAAGUUCCGCCUUGCUGGUGCCAAUCCACGAAGACAUAUUCUUUUUCCCGUGCUCUGUCCGGAAUUUGCCAAUCCUUACCACAUAAAUCACAAUUUGCUGACUUUGGAAAGUCAUCCGCACGCUAAGAUUCAAUGGCAUCUGAGAGACACUCAUUCAAUGCAAAGUGGACGGACUCUGUAACCAAUAUACUUAUUGGUUUAUUGGUGGAUG